rnacentral:rRNA from 1 species
UGAAAAGCCUCUAAGCUUCAGGUCACAUUGGACCGUACCGUAAACCGACACUGGUGGGUGAGCAGAUAAUCUGCCAAGGCGCUUGAGAGAACUCGGGUUAAGGAACUCUGCAAUUUGAUACCGUAACUUCGGAAGAAGGUAUGCCUUCGAUGGUGAAAGGACUUGCUCCUCUAGCUAUUGAAGGUCGCAGGUAAUCGGUGGCUGCAACUGUUUAUCAAAAACACAGGACUCUGCGAACACGUAAGUGGAUGUAUAGGGUCUGACGCCUGCCCGGUGCCGGAAGGUUAAUUGAUGGGGUUAGCCGCAAGGCGAAGCUCUUGAUCGAAGCCCCGGUAAACGGCGGCCGUAACAAUAACGGUCCUAAGGUAGCGAAAUUCCUUGUCGGGUAAGUUCCGACCUGCACGAAUGGCGUAAUGAUAGCCACACUGUCUCGACCCGAGACUCAGUGAAGUUGAAAUCGCUGUGAAGAUGCGGCGUUCCCGCGGCAAGACGGAAAGACCCCGUGAACCUUCACUACAGCUUUACACUGAACUUUGAACCUUUUUGUGUAGGAUAGGUGGGAGGCUAUGAAACUUGGGCGCUAGCUCGAGUGGAGCCAACCUUGAAAUACCACCCUGAAAUGUUCGGAGUUCUAACCUUGUCCCGUAAUCCGGGAUGGGGACAGUGUAUGGUGGGUAGUUUGACUGGGGCGGUCUCCUCCCAAAGAGUAACGGAGGAGUGCAAAGGUACGCUCAGCGCGGUCGGUCAUCGCGCUCUAGAGUGCAAAGGCAUAAGCGUGCUUAACUGCGAGACGGACAUGUCGAGCAGGUACGAAAGUAGGUCUUAGUGAUCCGGUGGUUCUGUAUGGAAGGGCCAUCGCUCAACGGAUAAAAGGUACUCCGGGGAUAACAGGCUUAUUCCUCCCAAGAGUCCACAUCGACGGAGGAGUUUGGCACCUCGAUGUCGGCUCAUCACAUCCUGGGGCUGUAGCAGGUCCCAAGGGUAUGGCUGUUCGCCAUUUAAAGUGGUACGCGAGCUGGGUUCAGAACGUCGUGAGACAGUUCGGUCCCUAUCUGCCGUGGGCGUUGAAAACUUGAGGGUGAGCUGUCCUUAGUACGAGAGGACCGGGAUGGACGUAUCUCUGGUGUUCCGGUUGUCACGCCAGUGGCACUGCCGGGUAGCUAUAUACGGACGGGAUAACCGCUGAAAGCAUCUAAGCGGGAAGCCCCCCCCAAGAUUAGGUUUCCCUGGGAACUCGAUUCCCCUAAAGGGCCGUCGAAGACUACGACGUUGAUAGGCUGGGUGUGUACGUGCAGCAAUGCAUUGAGCUAACCAGUACUAAUUGCCCGUGAGGCUUGACCAU